rnacentral:rRNA from 1 species
AGUAGCAAGGUUAAGCACUUAAGGUGCGGAGCCGUAGCGAAAGCGAGUUUUAACUGAGCGUUCAGUUACUUGACGUAGACCCGAAACCGGGCGACCUACCCAUGAGCAGGAUGAAGCGAAAGUAAAAGUUCGUGGAGGUCCGAACCCACGGGCGUUGAAAAGCUCGGGGAUGACUUGUGGGUAGCGGUGAAAUUCCAAUCGAGCCCGGAGAUAGCUGGUUCUCCCCGAAAUAGCUUUAGGGCUAGCCUCAAGGUGAGAGAUACGGAGGUAGAGCACUG